rnacentral:rRNA from 1 species
CAUGUAGGCGGCCCUGCAAGCGUCGUGUGAAAUCCCUGGGCUCAACCGAGGAAUUGCAUGGCGAACUGCUGGGCUUGAGGCAAGUAGGGGCGUGUGGAACUCUUGGUGGAGCGGUGGAAUGCGUAGAUAUCAAGAGGAACGCCGGUGGCGAAGGCGACACGCUGGGCUUGUCCUGACGCUGAGAUGCGAAAGCUAGGGUAGCGAACAGGAUUAGAUACCCUGGUAGUCC